AGUGAACGCUGGCGGUAGGCCUAACACAUGCAAGUCGAACGGCAGCACAGUAAGAUUUUGCUCUUACGGGUGGCGAGUGGCGGACGGGUGAGGAAUACAUCGGAAUCUACUUUUUCGUGGGGGAUAACGUAGGGAAACUUACGCUAUUACCGCAUACGACCUACGGGUGAAAUCAGGGGAUCUUCGGACCUUGCGCGAUUGAAUGAGCCGAUGUCGGAUUAGCUAGUUGGCGGGGUAAAGGCCCACCAAGGCGACGAUCCGUAGCUGGUCUGAGAGGAUGAUCAGCCACACUGGAACUGAGACACGGUCCAGACUCCUACGGGAGGCAGCAGUGGGGAAUAUUGGGCAAUGGGCGAAAGCCUGAUCCAGCCAUACCGCGUGGGUGAAGAAGGCCUUCGGGUUGUAAAGCCCUUUUGUUGGGAAAGAAAAGCAGCAGGUUAAUACCCCGAUGUUCUGACGGUACCCAAAGAAUAAGCACCGGCUAACUUCGUG
rnacentral:rRNA from 1 species